rnacentral:rRNA from 1 species
AUACGUGGGGAGCAAGCGUUGUUGGGAUUUACUGGGCGUAAAGAGCGCGUAGGCGGCUAAUUAAGUCAAAUGUGAAAUCCCCGAGCUUAACUUGGGAAUUGCAUUCGAUACUGGUUAGCUAGAGUGUGGGAGAGGAUGGUAGAAUUCCAGGUGUAGCGGUGAAAUGCGUAGAGAUCUGGAGGAAUACCGAUGGCGAAGGCAGCCAUCUGGCCUAACACUGACGCUGAGGUGCGAAAGCAUGGGGAGCAAACAGGAUUAGAAACCCCGGUAGUCC